rnacentral:rRNA from 1 species
ACGUAGGAUGCAAGCGUUGUCCGGAUUUACUGGGCGUAAAGCGCGCGCAGGCGGCACUCUAAGUACGUCGUGAAAUCUCCUUGCUCAACGGGGAGGGUGCGAAGUAGACUAGGGAGCUAGAGGUCGGUAGAGGGGGGUGGAAUUGCUGGUGUAGCGGUGAAAUGCGUAGAGAUCAGGAGGAACACCGGUGGCGAAGGCGGGUCUCUGGGCCUUACCUGACGCUGAGGAGCGAAAGCAUGGGUAGCCAACAGGA